CUGGGCCUGCAUGGCUGUUUGGGGCUUUUUCUCAUAAUGCCACCGUCUUUGCACCAUCUGCUGUUUUCACCUCUUUUCAGGCCACACCCCCGUUUUUUCACAAAAGCCCCCAGGGAGAUGGGUAGAGGAGGCUCUGCUUAUCUACUGUCCGUGGGCCUGCUGGUUCCCUUCUCCAGGCUUCUUGGGCGCCAGACCAUGAGAAGCAGGUGACUGAGAGGAGUGGGGAGCCGUGCUCCCCAGGAGACAGGAGUCUAACCCGACCCUCCGCGUGACGGUGAGAUUUUUUGUUGUCCUUGAUUGAAGGAGGAUGCAGAAGUGGUUUUGCACACUGAGUCUAAGGAAGGUGGGGGACAGGAUCCCCUGGGUCUGUCUUGCACAGCGUCCUGCCGGCUCAGCCCUGUG
rnacentral:lncRNA from 1 species